GAUGAACGCUGGCGGCGUGCCUAAUACAUGCAAGUCGAGCGAAUGGAUUAAGAGCUUGCUCUUAUGAAGUUAGCGGCGGACGGGUGAGUAACACGUGGGUAACCUGCCCAUAAGACUGGGAUAAGUCCGGGAAACCGGGGCUAAUACCGGAUAACAUUUUGAACCGCAUGGUUCGAAAUUGAAAGGCGGCAUCGGCUGUCACUUAUGGAUGGACCCGCGUCGCAUUGGCUGGUUGGUGAGGUAACGGCUCACCAAGGCAACGAUGCGUAGCCGACCUGAGAGGGUGAUCGGCCACACCGGGACUGAGACACGGCCCAGACUCCUACGGGAGGCAGCAGUAGGGAAUCUUCCGCAAUGGACGAAAGUCUGACGGAGCAACGCCGCGUGAGUGAUGAAGGCUUUCGGGUCGUAAAGCUCUGUUGUUAGGGAAGAACAAGUGCUAGUUGAAUAAGCUGGCACCUUGACGGUACCUAACCAGAAAGCCACGGCUAACUACGUGCCAGCCGCCGCCGUAA
rnacentral:rRNA from 1 species